rnacentral:rRNA from 1 species
CCUACGGGGGGCAGCAGUGGGGAAUAUUGGACAAUGGGCGAAAGCCUGAUCCAGCCAUGCCGCGUGUGUGAAGAAGGCCUUCGGGUUGUAAAGCACUUUCAGUGGGGAAGAAAGCCUUGGGGCUAAUACCCUCGAGGAAGGACAUCACCCACAGAAGAAGCACCGGCUAUACUCCGUGCCAGCAGCCGCGGUAAUACGGAGGGUGCGAGCGUUAAUCGGAAUUACUGGGCGUAAAGCGCGCGUAGGCGGUCUGAUAAGCCGGUUGGGAAAGCCCCGGGCUCAACCUGGGAACGGCAUCCGGAACGGUCAGGCUAGAGUGCAGGAGAGGAAGGUAGAAUUCCCGGUGUAGCGGUGAAAUGCGUAGAGAUCGGGAGGAAUACCAGUGGCGAAGGCGGCCUUCUGGACUGACACUGACGCUGAGGUGCGAAAGCGUGGGUAGCAAACAGGAUUAGAUACCCCUGUAGUC